rnacentral:rRNA from 1 species
GAUGAACGCUGGCGGCGUGCUUAACACAUGCAAGUCGAACGGUGAACGAGGGAGCUUGCUCCCUCCGGAUCAGUGGCGAACGGGUGAGUAACACGUGAGCAAUCUGCCCUGGACUCUGGGAUAAGCGUUGGAAACGACGUCUAAUACCGGAUACGAGGCGUGGGGGCAUCCCCAACGCCUGGAAAGAACUUCGGUCCAGGAUGAGCUCGCGGCCUAUCAGCUAGUUGGUGAGGUAACGGCUCACCAAGGCGACGACGGGUAGCCGGCCGGAGAGGGUGACCGGCCACACUGGGACUGAGACACGGCCCAGACUCCUACGGGAGGCAGCAGUGGGGAAUAUUGCACAAUGGGCGCAAGCCUGAUGCAGCAACGCCGCGUGAGGGAUGACGGCCUUCGGGUUGUAAACCUCUUUCGCCAGGGACGAAGCGCAAGUGACGGUACCUGGAGAAGAAGGACCGGCCAACUACGUGCCAGCCGCCGCAGUAAGAC